GAGUUUGAUCCUGGCUCAGAUUGAACGCUGGCGGUAUGCUUAACACAUGCAAGUCGAACGGAAACGAAACUAGCUUGCUAGUUGGCGUCGAGUGGCGGACGGGUGAGUAACGCGUAGGAAUCUACCUAGUAGUGGGGGAUAGCCCGAAGAAAUUCGGAUUAAUACCGCAUAAUCUAUUCGUAGUAAAGUGGGGGACUUUCGAGCCUCACGCUAUUAGAUGAGCCUGCGUAAGAUUAGCUUGUUGGUAGGGUAAAAGCCUACCAAGGCUACGAUCUUUAGCUGGUCUGAGAGGAUGAUCAGCCACAUCGGGACUGAGACACGGCCCGAACUCCUACGGGAGGCAGCAGUGGGGAAUAUUGGACAAUGGGGGCAACCCUGAUCCAGCAAUACCGCGUGUGUGAAGAAGGCCUGAGGGUUGUAAAGCACUUUCAAUUGUGAAGAAAAGUUAACGGUUAAUAACCGUUAGCCUUGACGUUAACUUUAGAAGAAGCACCGGCUAACUCCGUGCCAGCAGCCGCGGUAAUACGGAGGGUGCAAGCGUUAAUCGGAAUUACUGGGCGUAAAGCGUGCGUAGGCGGUUUAUUAAGUCAGAUGUGAAAGCCCCGGGCUUAACCUGGGAACUGCAUUUGAGACUGGUCAACUAGAGUAUGGUAGAGGAAAGUGGAAUUUCUGGUGUAGCGGUGAAAUGCGUAGAUAUCAGAAAGACAUCAAUGGCGAAGGCAGCUUUCUGGACAAUACUGACGCUGAAGUACGAAAGCGUGGGUAGCAAACAGGAUUUAGAUACCUGGUAGUCCACGCCGUAACGAUGAUACUGUCCACGCCGUAAACGAUGAUAACUAGCCGUGGGGGGGAUUUACCCCUUAGUGGCGAAGCUAACGCGUUAAGUUAUCCGCCUGGGGAGUACGGCCGCAAGGUUAAAACUCAAAGGAAUUGACGGGGACCCGCACAAGCGGUGGAGCAUGUGGUUUAAUUCGAUGCAACGCGAAGAACCUUACCUGGUCUUGACAUCCUGCGAACUUUCUAGAAAUAGAUUGGUGCCUUCGGGAACGCAGUGACAGGUGCUGCAUGGCUGUCGUCAGCUCGUGUCGUGAGAUGUUGGGUUAAGUCCCGUAACGAGCGCAACCCCUAUCCUUAUUUGCCAGCACAUUAUGGUGGGAACUAUAAGGAGACUGCCGGUGAUAAACCGGAGGAAGGCGGGGACGACGUCAAGUCAUCAUGGCCCUUACGACCAGGGCUACACACGUGCUACAAUGGGAAGGACAAAGAGCCGCGAAGCCGUGAGGUGUAGCUAAUCUCAGAAACCUUUUCGUAGUCCGGAUUGGAGUCUGCAACUCGACUCCAUGAAGUCGGAAUCGCUAGUAAUCGUAGAUCAGAAUGCUACGGUGAAUACGUUCCCGGGUCUUGUACACACCGCCCGUCAUACCAUGGGAGUGGGUUGCACCAGAAGUGGCUAGUCUAACUUUAUUGAGGACGGUCACCACGGUGUGAUUCAUGACUGGGGUAAAGUCGUAACAAGGUAGCCCUACCGGAAGGUGGGGCUGGAUCACCUCCUUUCU
rnacentral:rRNA from 1 species